UAUGCGCAGGAACGGUGUGUAAAUCCCACGCUGACACUCAGCCUCGCAGCCCCAGGUUAACGGUGUAUGUUCCUGGAGAAGUGUACCAGGGCUUUCUGCAAAGUUUUCCCUCAUGCUCUUUGAUCUACUGAGGCAGUUUCUAACAAAGCUGGCCGCAGGAGAGCCAAUGCAGCUCCGUCCUGUCACUUGGAGACAGAAAGUAGAAGUUUUGCCAAUUCUCUG